CUGGUGGGGCUCCAUGCAGGGUCUCCCUGAGUUUCCAGCAAACUGAAAAUGCUGAGCGCCAACCCUAGGGUCACAGGUGCUGCCUCUUGACCAGGCAGGUAGUGGAGGAUCCAAGCAGGGUCUGAAUUGUGCUCCCUGCUGUCACCCCCUCCUGAAAGGUCUGCUGUGGUGCUGGUGCACAUAUCUCAGCCCUGCUGUGGGUCUGGGAGGACGAGCUAUCACAGGGCUCCUCUGCAGCCAGGGCUGUGUCACACCAAAUGCAGCUGAACAGAUCCCUCCAAACUCAAAAUACAGAGCAUCUUUGAAAGCGGGGCUGUAA